UGCCAGCAGCCGCGGUAAUACGGAGGGUGCAAGCGUUAAUCGGAAUUACUGGGCGUAAAGCGCGCGUAGGCGGUUUUGUAAGUCGGAUGUGAAAUCCCUGGGCUUAACCUGGGAACUGCAUUCGAUACUGCAUAACUAGAGUAUGGUAGAGGGAAGUGGAAUUUCCGGUGUAGCGGUGAAAUGCGUAGAUAUCGGAAGGAACACCAGUGGCGAAGGCGACUUCCUGGACCAAUACUGACACUGAGGUACGAAAGCGUGGGGAGCAAACAGGAUUAGAUA
rnacentral:rRNA from 1 species